GCCAGGUGUGGUGGUGCGCACCUGUAAUCCCAGCUACUCAGGAGGCUGAGGCAGGGGAAUUGCUUGAACCCAGGAGGCAGAGGUUGCAGUGAGCUGAGAUCAUGCCACUGCAUUCCAGCCUGGGUGACAGAGCAAGACUCAGUGUCAA
ensembl:misc_RNA Metazoa_SRP Metazoan signal recognition particle RNA